AGACAGAAGUGAACAAAACCUCUAAAGCCUGAGAACAAAAGCAGGUGGGAUUUUGAGUGGCUUCUUGUGACCUUCAGACAGCAGAGUGGGGUACAAACCCAGGCAGUGAGUGUGAAGACAAAGGGAAUUGACGAAGGAAAGGUACUAAGCGAUGGGAAGCAGUGAAGAGCAUUUUGUACCAGCUCCCAUUUCACAGAGACACAGCACAACCACCAGCAAGCAGGUUACUCAGCACUCAGACCUUCUCAAGAGCUGCAAGGAGAAACUGCACCUCUAGGUUGGGGAUCUAGAAACUGCAUCAUCCCUGACCAGUGACAGAUGAGGAAAGACCAUGUGAAGACAGAGGGAGAAGACGACCAUCCACAAGCCAAGGAGAGAGCCCGCAGAAGAAACCAACCCUGUUAACACCUUCCAGCCUUCAGAAUUGUGAGAACAUAAAUUUCUCUUGUUCAAGCCACCCAGUCUGUGGUAUUUUGUUCCAGCAGCCCUAGCGGACUAAUACAACAAGAAAGAAAUGUGUCUACCUUGGCUACCAUGUAUCCCAG